CCUACGGGUGGCAGCAGUCGAGAAUCUUUCACAAUGGGGGAAACCCUGAUGGUGCGACGCCGCGUGGGGGAAUGAAGGUCUUCGGAUUGUAAACCCCUGUCAUGUGGGAGCAAAUUAAAAAGAUAGUACCACAAGAGGAAGAGACGGCUAACCCUGUGCCAGCAGCCGCGGUAAUACAGAGGUAUCAAGCGUUGUUCGGCAUCACUGGGCGUAAAGUGUGCGUAGGCUGUUUCGUAAGUCGUGUGUGAAAGGCCCGGGCUCAACCCGCGGACGGCACAUGAUACUGCGAGACUAGAGUAAUGGAGGGGUAACCGGAAUUCUCGGUGUAGCAGUGAAAUGCAUAGAUAUCGAGAAGAACACUCGUGGCGAAGGCGGGUUCCUGGACAUUAACUGACGCUGAGGCACGAAGGCCAGGGGAGCGAAAGGGAUUAGAUACCCCUGUAGUC
rnacentral:rRNA from 1 species